GUCAGAUGCAGCUGUGCCAGCCCAAGACCCCAGCAACAGCGAUCCAGGAACAGAGACAGAGUUAGCUGACACAGCCCUGGAUCUGCUCCUCUUGCUACUAACAGAACAGUGGAAAUGGCUAUGUACCGAAAACAUGCAAAAGUUUCUUCGUCUUAUCUUUGGGACCCUAGUUCAAAGAUCUCGUAGUAGAAAUUCUUGGGGUGAACAAAUGCCGGCUGAGCUGGGGUCUAGUCCUGGAGUCACUACAACAACCCCUCAUCAACAGGCAUUUGAUUUACUGCCUUGGGGACAUCAUCCUGGAAUUCUUGGAUCUCAGUGCCUCUGUUGAGGAGUCUGCUGCUACCACCUCUGCCUCAGAUACCCCAGGCAACUCUAAGAGGAUGGGUGUCUCCUCUUAGCUGGUUAUUCACGCCUUCUUCCCAGGUCAGGGAAGUAGAGUUACUCGGCCACCAGAGACCAGUCAGGAAGCCCGUGCCCUCUUCAAGUAGGCUACAGCUAAGAAGGCCUAGGUUCUCGGUGGCUCACUUCUCUCCCACUUCUGCUCCAUUUGUAGCAGGUGACAGGGGUCUGUGUGUCCCAGUUGCAUGCAUGUUUAUUUCCCUGUUCCUUUUGUGAUGUUGGGAUUGUUGCUGGUGAGUAGAUCCUGUUUCCUUUGGGAAAAGAAGCUGUGAGGUAGAGGAAUGAACCCCUUUUGCUUCUCCUUUUGCCAUCCUCCCUGAGAUUGUUUGCCAGAAUCCUGGCCCUGUGCACACAUGUGCUUAAUCCACCAGCACACAAGCUCUAGGUAGAACAGGAAAAAAACUGUGGCCAGCUUUCCUUGGAGGAGAAAACAACCUUCUCAGCUCUCUAUUCCUACCCGGAAACUAAAAAUUCAUUCAGGGCCAUUCUCAAAAGCCAGACUCCUGGG
rnacentral:sRNA from 1 species